rnacentral:rRNA from 1 species
UGGGACCUACGGGGGGCAGCAGUGAGGAAUAUUGGUCAAUGGCCGGAAGGCUGAACCAGCCACGCCGCGUGAGGGAGGAAGGCGCAGAGCGUCGCAGACCUCUUUUGCCAGGGGACAAAAGGCCGGACUCGUCCGGUCCUGAGGGUACCCGGAGAAAAAGCAUCGGCUAACUCCGUGCCAGCAGCCGCGGUAAUACGGAGGAUGCGAGCGUUAUCCGGAUUCAUUGGGUUUAAAGGGUGCGCAGGCGGAAGAUCAAGUCAGCGGUAAAAUUGAGAGGCUCAACCUCUUCGAGCCGUUGAAACUGG